rnacentral:pre_miRNA from 1 species
AAUAGAUGACGCCGUUGACUUUUUCUCACAUAUUUGACCAUUCGUCUUAUUCAAAAAAUUUACGUAAUUAUAAUUUAUUUUGUUAUGAGUUGUUUUACCUUAAGUGUGAUUUAUAUCUUAUACAUUUGCAUAAAUUUUUUGAAUAAGACGAAUGGUCAAACAUGUGAGAAAAAGUCAACGGCGUCAUCUAUU